AUUGAACGCUGGCGGCAUGCCUAACACAUGCAAGUCGAGCGGAUGAAGGGAGCUCGUUCCUGGCUUCAGCGGCGGACGGGUGAGUAAUGCCUAGGAAUCUACCCGUUAGUGGGGGAUAAAGUCCGGAAACGGGCCCUACUACCGCAUAUGUCCAGAGGGAGAAAGUGGGGGUUCCUCAGACCUCACGCUUUCAGAUGAGCCUAGGUCGGAUUAGCUAGUUGGGGGGGUAAAGGCCUACCAAGGCGACGAUCCGGAACUGGUCUGAGAGGAAGAUCGGUCACACGGGAACUGAGACACGGUCCAAACUCCUACGGGAGGCAGAAGUGGGGAAUAUUGGACAAUGGGCGAAAGCCUGAUCCAGCCAUGCCGCGUGUGUGAAGAAGGUCUUCGGAUUGUAAAGCACUUUGAGUUGGGAGGAAAAGCAGUAAGUUAAUACCUUGCUGUUUUGACGGUACCAACAGAAUAAGCACCGGCUAACUUCGUG
rnacentral:rRNA from 1 species